rnacentral:rRNA from 1 species
AUGCACAGUGGAUUUAGGGCGUUUGCCCCCCUUAUCAACAGAGUGUCUGGUGAGCUGAACAGAUGCAUCUUUGAUGCCUCAGAUGCACUAGGUGAUGCCCCCGGGACCGUCCAAUCUGAGAACAAAAUGAGGGGGACAAUGAAGAAGUUCGUGAAGCGUUGUCGCAUGCUGGUAGGGCUGCUUGGGUGUGCUGGAGCUGGGUCGGUUGAAGCUUAUCAGCCUGUAGCCAUACAGGGUCACAUCGCCUCAUUGAGCCAUGCUCCCUCGUCGUCUAGGUUGGUUGAGGAUGAGGAGGAGGAGGAAGAGGAGGAGGAGGAGGCCACAUAUGAAGAAAUGGAGGAGGAGGGGGAUGAGAGCAAUGGGGAGGAUGAGUACGAUGAAGAUUAUGGACCUCCAACAACUCAAUCAUCUCAAGCAUCUCAGCUGCCGCCGAAGAGGAAUCCGAAGAAGAAGGAUUUGCUGAGUCCGGACCCUUUCCAAAGACCGGUUCCUCGACGGCCCAAGAAGAAGACUGAAGAGCUUCGUUCAAAGAGUAACGAGGACCGUACCUCCAAGAGAGGAAGGAGCAAGUGA